AUUGAACGCUGGCGGCAUGCUUUACACAUGCAAGUCGAACGGCAGCACGGGCUUCGGCCUGGUGGCGAGUGGCGAACGGGUGAGUAAUGCAUCGGAACGUGCCCAUUUGUGGGGGAUAACGCGGCGAAAGUCGCGCUAAUACCGCAUACGCCCUGAGGGGGAAAGCGGGGGAUUCUUCGGAACCUCGCGCAAUUGGAGCGGCCGAUGUCAGAUUAGCUAGUUGGUAGGGUAAAGGCCUACCAAGGCGACGAUCUGUAGCGGGUCUGAGAGGAUGAUCCGCCACACUGGGACUGAGACACGGCCCAGACUCCUACGGGAGGCAGCAGUGGGGAAUUUUGGACAAUGGGCGCAAGCCUGAUCCAGCCAUGCCGCGUGCGGGACGAAGGCCUCGGUU
rnacentral:rRNA from 1 species